rnacentral:rRNA from 1 species
UGAGGAAUAUUGGGCAAUGCCCGCAAGGGUGACCCAGCAACGCCGCGUGGAGGAUGAAUGUCGUAAGAUUGUAAACUCCUGUUAGAGGGGAAGAAUAGUACCGGUUGGACCGGUAUAUGACUGUACCCUCAGAGAAAGCCCCGGCUAACUACGUGCCGGCAGCCGCGGUAAUACGUAGGGGGCAAGCGUUGUCCGGAUUUACUGGGUGUAAAGGGCGCGCAGGCGGGAUAAAAAGUCAGUGGUGAAAUCCUACAGCUUAACUGUAGAACUGCCUUUGAUACUUUUAUUCUUGAGUUCGGGAGAGAGAGACGGAAUUCCAGGUGUAGUGGUGAAAUACGUAGAUAUCUGGAAGAACACCAGUUGCGAAGGCGGUCUCUUGGUCCGACACUGACGCUGAGGCGCGAAAGCGUGGGGAGCAAACA